AGCCACUGAUGAAAUUUGAUUCUGCCAAAUGAAUUACUGUGAUAUCACACUUCUCCGUUCCACUUUUCUCUGAGGUU
ensembl:snoRNA